CGUGCACUCCUGUGUCCUCCUCAACCCUCACGCACGGGCACGUAUUGAAUCAAUGAAUGAAUCAACCUUCCACAUCACUCACCAUUUCUUUUCAUCUUUUUUUCUUUUAUUAUUAUUAUUAUUAUUAUUAUUAUUAUUAUUAUUAUUAUUCUCAUGCACUUAGAUCAAGGGCAUAUGUGUCAAUGCAUCUUCUAUAUAAUUCAACUUCUAUUCUCUCUUCUUGGCUAUUCUUCCACUUUGACUGUGCCAAACUCACGCUUGCUCUCAACUCUCAACUGCUUCCGUUUCUCUCUCUCCCUUCAACUUUCCUCAGUGCUAAACUGGUUUUUGGCUAAAGGAGUAGUGGUGGCUUCUUCUGAUUUUUUUGGAUAAGGAUACAGCAGCAUGCGGUGGAGGCUUAGUCUAUCUAUUGAUGUUUUUCGCUUAGUCAUUUCCUUGAACCUUUACUGCAAAGUGAUUCUGUAGCUCUCAAAUCUUGUUACCAAAACCAUUUUCAAUCUUCUCAUUCA